rnacentral:piRNA from 1 species
CUGAAUUAGAUGGAACUGCA